UACGUAGGAGGCGAGCGUUGUCCGGAAUUACUGGGCGUAAAGGGCUCGUAGGCGGCCAACUAAGUCAGACGUGAAAUCCCUCGGCUUAACCGGGGAACUGCGUCUGAUACUGGAUGGCUUGAGAUUGGGAGAGGGAUGCGGAAUUCCAGGUGUAGCGGUGAAAUGCGUAGAUAUCUGGAGGAACACCGGUGGCGAAGGCGGCAUCCUGGACCAACACUGACGCUGAGUGAGCGAAAGCCAGGGGAGCAAACGGG
rnacentral:rRNA from 1 species